UUUCAACAAGAAGGGAUAGAAUAAUAGCAGCAGCAAUGGUCAUUCUAGCUGUUGUGACAAGCACCAUAGCUAUUUCUACGAAUAUAUAUAAGUUAGUUGGAAAUAAGUCAUAGGUCUUUGUCUUUUUCAGCUUUGUUGUGGUUGAGUUGUAUGUUUUCCUGUAUAAUAUCAAAUGUGGGUUGUAUUGUUUCUGACAAGCACCAUAGCUCUUU
rnacentral:lncRNA from 1 species